AGGCACUGUUCGUGGCCUGCUAGCCUGGCUGUGGCUGACGGGCUCCAUUCCAGUGCCACAGCAGCUCCAGUGGCUUGUCACUGACAGACUCGUGGCUCUCGGUUUCAGGCCCUUGGGACACAG
ensembl:snoRNA small nucleolar RNA, H/ACA box 54